ACUGAAGAGAUGCCGCGCUUUGUUGAAGCG
rnacentral:sRNA from 1 species